GGUGAACGCUGGCGGCGUGCCUAAUACAUGCAAGUCGAGCGAACGGACGAGAAGCUUGCUUCUCUGAUGUUAGCGGCGGACGGGUGAGUAACACGUGGAUAACCUACCUAUAAGACUGGGAUAACUUCGGGAAACCGGAGCUAAUACCGGAUAAUAUUUUGAACCGCAUGGUUCAAAAGUGAAAGACGGUCUUGCUGUCACUUAUAGAUGGAUCCGCGCUGCAUUAGCUAGUUGGUACGGUAACGGCUUACCAAGGCAACGAUGCAUAGCCGACCUGAGAGGGUGAUCGGCCACACGGGAACUGAGACACGGUCCAGACUCCUACGGGAGGCAGCAGUAGGGAAUCUUCCGCAAUGGGCGAAAGCCUGACGGAGCAACGCCGCGUGAGUGAUGAAGGUCUUCGGAUCGUAAAACUCUGUUAUUAGGGAAGAACAUAUGUGUAAGUAACUGUGCACAUAUUGACGGUACCUAAACAGAAAGCCACGGCUAACUACGUG
rnacentral:rRNA from 1 species